rnacentral:lncRNA from 1 species
GUGGCCGUCUGCGACUUCGCCCGGCAACUCGCCAUCCUCAAGGUCGGUACCGUUAUCCAUCUGUGUUGGAUUGACCCAUACUAGAUGACUCGAUUUUCCUCCUUUCUCAACAACACCACUUCCUACUAAGUAGGACUCCGUCCCGAUCACCAGAGUCCAGGGAGGGAGGCCAGAGUCCUUGAUGCAGCGCUUGCAUUUUUGCUCGUACAGCCUGGCCGUACACGAAGAGACAGAAACACUGGCAACAACUGGUUGGUGUUGGAUUACGGCACUGUAGUACACACAUCUACAUCUACAUGUACAUCUACAUCCAUCCAUUCAUCGCUCAGCUAGAUUUUCCAAUUUGUUUUCAAAGACAGCGACAUCCACACAAGCCACGUAAGCAGUUUUGCACCGAACCCGCAUCCUGUUUAGGUCCUUAUUACCCGAAGGUCGCGUCGCCACAAAGCCCGGAGGACAUACAAGCCGCCUCUGCGGGCCUCUCCGCGCGCCGCCGCCACCUUCUUCCUCCCCUCCUCGUUCCUCUCCCCCCGUCCCCCCUUCACCCUCCUCCUCCUCCUCCAAGUACGGCAACGGGUAGUUAUGUUGCUUAAGCUCGUUCAAUGAUGCCACGUAGUGCGAGGGCGGGAAGGGACCUGGAGGCAACUGCACCGACGGCGGCGGCGGCGGCGGCGGCGGUGGAGCCCGACCGCCUUUCCCUCGCCGUUCCGCCGCGGCACCUUUUGGCGGCGCAAGGCUAGCAACCGCCGCCGUCGCCGCCGCUGACCCGCCAGCGGUUGCUUCCUCCUUGUCCUCCUCCCCUCCCCCGUCCUCCGUGCCUUCCACUGCGCCGGCGGCGGCACCGGCGGCGGCGGCGGCGGACGGCGCGGAUCUCUUUCGCUUGGCGUUCAGCGUUAUUUUUUUGCGGAAUAUAUUCCGAAUUCGGAAUAAAAAAAUGUUCGUGGUCCUGAAAGUUAAGAAUAAAUAAUGUCCCGACCGUGCAAGUUCAUUCCUCCAGCCAAAAAUGGACUGUCCGUGCCAAAGCCGCUAGAAUCUCACAGGAGACAUACAUGUUAACCAUAUCAUAGUACUUUAAUGCCAUGGAUACUGCUAGGAAGCUCACGCCCGAAAGUCAACGAGGAAUCGGACUGUUUCUGACCGGACCAAACGCUGCAAAACAUUGACCCGAAGCUCCCAAAGCGUGUUAGGUCAUUAAAGCAGAUAUAAAAAAUCACUGAAGCCAUUAGCGACGUUAAUGAAGACGGUAUAGAGGUCGUAGGGAAUGUGGGCGCAAUGCUGCAGCCAGCCGACGACAAUGACGCCACUCCGGUUGUCAACAGCGAGCGGGCCAAACAUCAACGUUCGUCAUAUGGAGACAAUCGCGAUGGUCCAGGAAACAGGCUGCGCUUGGUGGUUCCGGUCCAUUGCUGCUAUGCAUCAUUACUUCUGCAACCUGGAAAGUCGUGUAGUGUNNNNNNNNNNNNNNNNNNNNNNNNNNNNNNNNNNNNNNNNNNNNNNNNNNNNNNNNNNNNNNNNNNNNNNNNNNNNNNNNNNNNNNNNNNNNNNNNNNNNNNNNNNNNNNNNNNNNNNNNNNNNNNNNNNNNNNNNNNNNNNNNNNNNNNNNNNNNNNNNNNNNNNNNNNNNNNNNNNNNNNNNNNNNNNNNCCGGAAAGGGGGGAACAGAGCUGUUCACGGAGUUCAGGAGGGUCUGUCGGGUUUUAGAGGUUGAUCUUCUUACUGAAAGGCAUGCGAAGUCCGGGGGCGAGGGGAGAUAUGACAGAGCCCCAAUUCCGCCGCAGCAGCCGCAGGGAAACCCGUCACCACAGGCUUUCGAGUCCUGUAGACCCCCUGUGAGUCCCCCUUUUUCCCGGCCCCCUUUUUUGAUGUGGGUUUUGGAGGGGACGAGUGAACAUUCACGUGUUGUGAGUUACAUCGCCUUCAAAGGGAUUAAAGCUAAUUCGGAUUCGACAAUAGCUCUGCUAGUUAUUUCUGAAGAGCAUGGGUUUAUAUAAGGAAAACCUUUUUGUUUAUCAGAUCCAUGCAUUGUUGCCCUUGAUGACUGAAUUACUUACUAUAAUUUCACAAGUCAUGAUGCGGUUUCUCAUUCUUCCGAGAUCGAGACUCCCCCGUUUUUUAUCCUGCCCGCGCCCCCCGCGGCCCCCGGGGCCCCCUUCCCAGAGCCCAAAGCUCAAGCACACCCUCCCCCCGCCCUUUCCAUUUCUACCGGGUUUAGCUUGCGGCGAGAUGUGUACGACAGCCGGUUGACCCAGGUUCGACAGAAACGGCAGCAGGUGCUGUGGGUUGGUGGUGGGGUGCGUGGGCGGGGGUGGGCGAGGUAACCGCCAGGGGUGGGUGGGUGGGGGGGGGCUGGGGAGGUGGGGGGAAAAAUGAAAACCCAAAACACGUCCCAGCAGGGAAAGGGAUGUCAUGCGCCGAAUAAAUAAAAACACAUUCAGUUUAUUUAAUGAAACAUUAAGUUUAUGAAACAGCACGGUCAGUAACCCCCUGAGUAAGCCCUUCCCCCGGCUUGUGCGUGUGCUUUCAACAGCACCAGAAACAACAGGAUGUAGACGCGAGGCCGGCCCCGCUGCGCUGCAGCUGUGUUUCGGCCCCCCGUCAGGGCCAACGACGGUGCUCGUCGCCCUUUCUCAGGGCGAGCUUUGCCCACACAGUGUAACAUCCCCUCACCAUCAACACCAACAUGAACAGUAGCAGCAACAGCUGAAACAACAUCAACACGCGCCAAAAGUUCUUGUAAGCGAGCAGCGCUUCCCCCCACUCCAAUCAAAGAAUGCACAUACGUUGCGUGGUUAAGGAACGAAAUGCUACAGAAUUUAGUAAAGUGCCAAAAUCCUAAGAUCACUAUAGAAGAGCCAACUACCAACCACCAACCAGCAUUCUAACCGUUGGCCGCCGCCCACCCACCUGCUUUUCCUUCAUCAUGGCGCUGCUCAAGCCCGAGGCCAGCACCAGCACCACCCCCUGGACCAGCGGCUUGUUCUGCAAUGUGGGUUGCCGUACAGGUGCCGUACAGGUGAGCCCCGAUAAGGCGGGGGUUACGCCCAAAGGAGGGACGGGCAGCACGUGUCUGUUUACACAUGACCAGAAAACACACACGCGACACGCCGUGUACCCGAGAUGCGCUCCACCUUUCGACCCACCCACCGCCUCCACCGUUUUCCUCCCCCUCUCCAUCCCCCUCUUCCUCCCCCUCUCCCUCCCCCCCCGUCCUCCCCCCUCACCUUCACAAAGGCCCACCUGGGCGACUCCACCAGGUUGCCCGCGGGGGAGAGCACCCACGUCACGAGGGCUUGGACAUCGCGUAGCGCGAUAGGGUGGGGGGAGGGACCGCCGCCGGGGGCGCCCUUGAUCUCCACGCUGGGUGUAGCCUGAGGGCGGCAAGAGGGAGGGGUUGGGAAGACGAGCCACGUGAACGAGUGAAGCUGAUGCCACGGAGGACAGACUGAUACGAAAAGGGGGGCGCGGGGAAUGGGGGUUGAGAGGAACCACUGACGAUUUAAGCAGAGACCAGGACAAGGGAAAAGCGGGAGGGAGAGAGGGAAAGGGUGGUAUGAGCAAUCCAUAUGCUGUGCGGUGCGGUGGGAGCAACGUUGCAGACAAACAGACAAACGAACAGACAAACAGACAGACAGACGGACAGACACGCAGACAGAUAAGUUGAGAGUUUGAAGGAAUGUGUGCCACCAGAUCCACGCAAGACUGUUGUGUCUAUUUUCCCACCCCACCCCCCACCCCACCCCACAACUGGCGGCUGAGAGAAAGUGGCGACGGGGUACACGCCAAACACAGCCGGAUGGACAAACAGACAGACAGACAGACAGGUGAACGGACGGAAAGACGAACAGAUGGAUGGAUGGAUGAUGUUCCGAGUGGGACAAAAAGCCGUAUACCCACUUACACGCACACGCGCCCCUGCGCGUCCUUCAAUAACCCACCUCCUUAUGCACCUCCGCCACGUACUUGCCACCCCCUGCCGCCUCCGCUGCUACUGCUGCUAGUGCUGGUGUUGCUACAGCCGGCGAUGGGGCCCCCGACCUAGCUCCUGGAACCGUGUGCCUGCCCACCUUGGCACCUGAUGUAACACCUCCGCCUCCGCCUCUGCCGCCGCCAUGCGCUGUCCUUGCACCGCUUCCUCGGGUGCCGCCACCAGGUCCUUUGCCGUCGAAAUCUGGAACGUUCGGCGUCUCCAAACUCUGAAGUCGGGCCUUCAGAGCAGCUUUGUUGGCUUCGAAUAUCGGAGAUUUUGCUAUCGAUGCGGGAGAAGCAGCAGUGGCAGCUGGGGCGGUGGCGGAGGGUUUGCCUUCGGAGUGCUUGUUGUGUUGUUGGUGUUGGUGCUGCCGGUGCUUUUGUUGGGCUUUGUGCUGACGACUGGGUUGUUGCUGGGCAUGUUCGUGUUGCUCGUGUUGUUAAGCAGCCCCUCGCACAAAUGUGUCCGGUCGUACUUCGCGAAUAAAGUGUUCGUACAUCGUCCCAAGAAAGGCAGGAGCGAAUUUUGACGCGCAGAUGCGCGCUUGCGAUUCACAAAAUGCGCUUGUACAAGUGUAUAUAAAUUUUCUUGGCGGAUGAGGACCACGUGCGCCAGCGCGUUGCGCAAGUGGGCAUGUUGGCCAUAGCCGCACGCGGCAUGCAUGCUGGACUAUUGCCUGGAUGCUUUGCAGAAACUGAAAGCACCCAAAGCCAACAUCGUAGCUUGCAACUCUGGGCUCGUGAAACUGCCGCGGAAGAUGAAGCACUGGCGAAGAGGCAGUUGUAUGCAGCACCUUGUUCAGAGUAAAGUCAAAUUACAAAGUUGCGCAAAGUAUAACAUACAUAAACUUAAUUAAACAUAAGAACAGAUAAGACGUUUAGAGCCUUGUCGGUGACAUGGACGCCGCUGUUGGUUUGGAACAGCUAUUUGCUGUGCAUAGGGACGUGCCCGCGUUAGCCGUGUUGCAACAGCUCAGGAUGGAUUUCAGCCAGCAACAGCCUCAAGAGCUGCUGCACAACCACCGGGAAUGUCUUCAGUUGGGCACGUGUAGUUUUGGUCGGCGGGGUCGAGCAACGUACGCAAUGCGCACAGAAACCAAGGUGCAGCGUUCUGUAACAUCGCCAACAUAUCCGGUACGCGGUGGCAGGCUUGCCGAGCACGAAAUGAAGGGGGGGUCGCAUCUCACCAUUCAACUAAGCAUGCAUGUGCUCGGUUGAAUGCUCGGUAGCGUGCGAGUUUACCCCUAUCAGGAUGUUUGUUUGCAUAUCCCUCCAAGCGAGAGGGCUUGCACCUAUGCUGAUGUUCGUUCCAAGAAGUGAACUGAGGACUGAUGCUACGGUGAAAGAUUUGCACGUAAAUUCGCCCGUGCAAUAAAACGCCCUGUAACUCGCUUACGCUAAUCUCACAUUCCAAUAUGCCACUGCACUUUCCUCUCCAGCCUGGCCACAUUCUCUUCCUCGCAAACGUACUUGGGCACCUUACAAUCCAACACCAUACGUGCUUUGGAAACGCGGGCAGCUGCUUCACAAGGACCCCCCUAUUUGGUAUUCUCUUCUAAGUAGCGCGGCGCUGUAGUCUGCUGAUGUAUUAUCACGGCGUCCUUGGUUUUGGAGACUGUGCCGGGCCUGAUUGUACGGUUCUGGCUUCAACGCCGGCCUGUGACCAGCAUCGGUUCCGUGCCGACCAUGCUUUGGGUAAAACCCUAAAACCCUACAGUUAAUCUUGCGUUGCUUGCGCGGCGGGUCCGCAAAUGUUUCGUGGCCGUCUGCGACUUCGCCCGGCAACUCGCCAUCCUCAAGGUCGCUACCGUUAUCCAUCUGUGUUGGAUUGACCCAUACUAGAUGACUCGAUUUUCCUCCUUUCAUGCUGAAGGUAGAGCUAAUUCCACGAGGGGAGUCGUGCCCUGUAAGUCUCCGUUCGACUGGGGCGGCGGAAUGUCCCGGUUCUCCUGCUUUGAACGCUUCGCAAAGCUUCUUAGCUAGAUAUCCUGUUGUUAUAUAAACGCCAGCCUCAGACCGUUGAUACGAGUCCAAUGGUGAGGUGAACCUUUG